rnacentral:rRNA from 1 species
GACGAACGCUGGCGGCGUGCUUAACACAUGCAAGUCGAACGGUGAAGCGCCUUCCUUUUUGGUGGGUGUGGAUGAGUGGCGAACGGGUGAGUAACACGUGAGUAACCUGCCCCCUUCUUCUGGAUAACCGCAUGAAAGUGUGGCUAAUACGGGAUAUUCUGGGUCUGUCGCAUGAUGGGUCUGGGAAAGAUAUUGUUUCGGUGGGGGAUGGGCUCGCGGCCUAUCAGCUUGUUGGUGGGGUGAUGGCCUACCAAGGCGGUGACGGGUAGCCGGCCUGAGAGGGUGGACGGUCACACUGGGGCUCAGACACGGGGCCCACUCCUACACGGGGCAGCGGUGGAGAGUAUUGUACGAUGGGGGCAAGCCUGUGGCAGCGACGCGGCGUGUGAGAUGGGGGCGUUCGGGUGGUGAACCUCUUUGGCGAGUGAAGCGGGCCGGCCUCGUUUGUGGGCGGGUUGACGGUAGCUUGAUAAGAAGCGCCGGCUAACUACGUG